CAUAGGUUAAUGAGGCGAACCGGGGGAACUGAAACAUCUAAGUACCCCGAGGAAAAGAAAUCAACCGAGAUUCCCCCAGUAGCGGCGAGCGAACGGGGAGCAGCCCAGAGCCUGAAUCAGUGUGUGUGUUAGUGGAAGCGUCUGGAAAGGCGCGCGAUACAGGGUGACAGCCCCGUACACAAAAAUGCACAUACUGUGAGCUCGAUGAGUAGGGCGGGACACGUGGUAUCCUGUCUGAAUAUGGGGGGACCAUCCUCCAAGGCUAAAUACUCCUGACUGACCGAUAGUGAACCAGUACCGUGAGGGAAAGGCGAAAAGAACCCCGGCGAGGGGAGUGAAAAAGAACCUGAAACCGUGUACGUACAAGCAGUGGGAGCACGCUUAGGCGUGUGACUGCGUACCUUUUGUAUAAUGGGUCAGCGACUUAUAUUCUGUAGCAAGGUUAACCGAAUAGGGGAGCCGAAGGGAAACCGAGUCUUAACUGGGCGUUAAGUUGCAGGGUAUAGACCCGAAACCCGGUGAUCUAGCCAUGGGCAGGUUGAAGGUUGGGUAACACUAACUGGAGGACCGAACCGACUAAUGUUGAAAAAUUAGCGGAUGACUUGUGGCUGGGGGUGAAAGGCCAAUCAAACCGGGAGAUAGCUGGUUCUCCCCGAAAGCUAUUUAGGUAGCGCCUCGUGAAUUCAUCUCCGGGGGUAGAGCACUGUUUCGGCAAGGGGGUCAUCCCGACUUACCAACCCGAUGCAAACUGCGAAUACCGGAGAAUGUUAUCACGGGAGACACACGGCGGGUGCUAACGUCCGUCGUGAAGAGGGAAACAACCCAGACCGCCAGCUAAGGUCCCAAAGUCAUGGUUAAGUGGGAAACGAUGUGGGAAGGCCCAGACAGCCAGGAUGUUGGCUUAGAAGCAGCCAUCAUUUAAAGAAAGCGUAAUAGCUCACUGGUCGAGUCGGCCUGCGCGGAAGAUGUAACGGGGCUAAACCAUGCACCGAAGCUGCGGCAGCGACGCUGAUGCGUUGUUGGGUAGGGGAGCGUUCUGUAAGCCUGUGAAGGUGUGCUGUGAGGCAUGCUGGAGGUAUCAGAAGUGCGAAUGCUGACAUAAGUAACGAUAAAGCGGGUGAAAAGCCCGCUCGCCGGAAGACCAAGGGUUCCUGUCCAACGUUAAUCGGGGCAGGGUGAGUCGACCCCUAAGGCGAGGCCGAAAGGCGUAGUCGAUGGGAAACAGGUUAAUAUUCC
rnacentral:rRNA from 1 species